UACGUAGGGGGCAAGCGUUAUCCGGAUUUACUGGGUGUAAAGGGAGCGUAGACGGCUGAGCAAGUCAGAAGUGAAAGCCCGGGGCUCAACCCCGGGACUGCUUUUGAAACUGCGGAGCUGGAGUGCAGGAGAGGUAAGCGGAAUUCCUGGUGUAGCGGUGAAAUGCGUAGAUAUUAGGAGGAACACCAGUGGCGAAGGCGGCUUACUGGACGAUGACUGACGCUGAGGCACGAAAGCGUGGGGAGCAAAUAGG
rnacentral:rRNA from 1 species